rnacentral:rRNA from 1 species
UACAGAGGUGGCAAGCGUUGUUCGGAAUUACUGGGCGUAAAGCGUGCGUAGGGGGCCGAUAUAGUCUGAUGUGAAAUCUCACCGCUUACCGGUGAAACGGCAUUGGAUACUGGUCGGCUUGAGGACCGGAGGGGAUAGCGGAAUUCCAGGUGUAGAGGUGAAAUGCGUAGAUAUCUGGAGGAACACCAGCGGCGAAGGUGGCCAUCGGGAAGGUACCUGACCCUGAGGCGCGAAAGCCAGGGGAGCGAACGGG